rnacentral:rRNA from 1 species
CCUUGUACACACCGCCCGUCACACCAUGGGAGUGGGUUGUACCAGAAGCAGGUAGUUUAACCCGCAAGGGGGAACGCUUGCCACGGUAUGGUUCAUGACUGGGGUG